GUAAUAUGUUGAGUGCCUUAAAUUUUAAAUGUAACAGUAAUGAUUUGUAAAGCACAUUUUACAUUCACACAAAAAUAAACAGCUCUGUUUGAACGUCAGACUCAAGAGCUCCGCCUCGUCCAAUCACAGAGCAGCAGAAUGUGUUUCUGUUCUCUCAUUGGACUAAAUUAUUGCAGGCAGCCGCGAAUUUGGCGAAGUUCACGGCUUGCGGCUGAGUGCGCACCCACCUUAGUUUACUGCUCUGUGGAGAAUCCCGUUGUGUCCAACUGACGGUUUAUGCUGAGUGUGGAUUGAAACAUCGUGAACAGCAACACAGCCUCCUUCAUGUGUGCCCUGUGCCUGAUGUUUGGGAGCUCUUAUUGCUUCAACAUUCAUUACCCAUCAGAGCUGGCAUCAGCCCUGGAGUUUGGGCAGAGGUGUUUUUUCUCCAUCAACUCCGAGAAGGACACUAAAGUGCAGAAGACAAACUCAUCCUGUCUUCAUGUUAACCCGAGUCCUCACCUCGAUUCAGGGACUUUCAUAUCACGAGUGGCGUGAUGUCUGACUGUGGACGGCAAUAUUUAUGGCAUAUAUUGAUGUGCCUCACUCAUAGUUGGAGUCUUUGUUUCAGUUCAUUAUCUGCUCACCUCUCCAAAUUUAAGAAGCAAAGAAAAGUUUCUGACUAAGUUGUUACAAAGUUUGAAUGCAAUAUUACUGAGUUUUUAUUGGUCUUGUAUUUCCUCAUUUGCACGCCUGAAGAGCUUCUAUGAAAAUAUUUGUACGUGUAUUCUAUUUAUUCUAAUAAGGAAAUGCAGUAAUCUUUAAAAUGGUGUUAAAAAUUCUUAAAUUUAUUCAUAAAAC